rnacentral:rRNA from 1 species
GACAGAGGGGGCAAGCGUUGCUCGGAAUUACUGGGCGUAAAGGGCGCGUAGGCGGGAUGGCAAGUCGGUCGUGAAAUCCUUCGGCUCAACCGAAGAACGUCGAUCGAUACUGCUGUUCUUGAGGGUUGCAGAGGAGACUGGAAUUCCCGGUGUAGCGGUGAAAUGUGUAGAGAUCGGGAGGAAUACCAGUGGCGGAAGGCGGCCUUCUGGACGGAUACU